GGGGCCGUUCUGGAUUCGACUGGUAUAGGUCGAGCCUUGGUUGCACUCCGUAGCGGCAUCUACGUUAAAAGGUCCAGUUUAAUUAUAACUGCAAAAAAUAAUAACAAUUCUUACGCUUUAGCUGCUUAAUAGGCGCUUAACGUAGAUCCUCCUAGUCUUACCCGCGGGCUAGAUCUGGGUCCUAAACUUAACGGGUUACGUUGACUGGCUCCCACCUGAAGCUGGUCAAAAGAGCUUAAUCAGGUUAGCUCAGCAUGUUGGCCCUGACAGGCGGCAAGUUGUUGGGUGAAACUCAAAUAGUCUGCCUAUGAGUGUAGAGGCUGGGGUGGCGAUAUGCUAGGACGCGGGUUCGAUCCCCGCCGGCUCCA
rnacentral:tmRNA from 1 species